AUUGAACGCUGGCGGCAUGCCUUACACAUGCAAGUCGAACGGCAGCACGGGAGCAAUCCUGGUGGCGAGUGGCGAACGGGUGAGUAAUACGUCGGAACGUGCCCAAUCGUGGGGGAUAACGCAGCGAAAGCUGUGCUAAUACCGCAUACGAUCUACGGAUGAAAGCAGGGGACCGCAAGGCCUUGCGCGAAUGGAGCGGCCGAUGGCAGAUUAGGUAGUUGGUGGGGUAAAGGCUCACCAAGCCAACGAUCUGUAGCUGGUCUGAGAGGACGACCAGCCACACUGGGACUGAGACACGGCCCAGACUCCUACGGGAGGCAGCAGUGGGGAAUUUUGGACAAUGGGCGCAAGCCUGGUCCAGCCAUGCCGCGUGCAGGAUGAAGGCCUUCGGGUUGUAAACUGCUUUUGUACGGAACGAAACGGCCUUUUCUAAUAAAGAGGGCUAAUGACGGUACCGUAAGAAUAAGCACCGGCUAACUACGUGCCAGCCGCCGCGGUAACAC
rnacentral:rRNA from 1 species